rnacentral:rRNA from 1 species
AUACGUAGGGGACGAGCGUUGUCCGGAAUUACUGGGCGUAAAGGGCGCGCAGGCGGAUAUUUAAGUCAGCUGUAAAAGGCAUGAGCUCAACUCAUGUAUGCGGUUGAAACUGGGUAUCUAGAGUGCUGGAGAGGUAGGCGGAAUUCCCGGUGUAGCGGUGAAAUGCGUAGAUAUCGGGAAGAACACCAGUGGCGAAGGCGGCUUACUGGCCAGCAACUGACGCUGAGGCGCGAAAGCCAGGGGAGCGAACGGGAUUAGAUACCCCGGUGGUCCUGGCCGUAAACGAUGAAUGCUAGGUGUGGGUGUCGAGAGGCAUCCGUGCCGGAGUUAACGCGAUAAGCAUUCCGCCUGGGGAGUACGAUCGCAAGAUUGAAACUCAAAGGAAUUGACGGGG